rnacentral:lncRNA from 13 species
AUGUCAAGCAUCCUCCCUAAAGCCUCAGGGACCACCACGGAAGAGGAGGACCAUAAAGAAAUAAAGAACCAAGUUUAUGAGAAUAACCUCAAAAUAAGACAAAAAAGAUCUGAGUUCUCUCCAAUGAACAGACUCCAGGAACCGUAAUAUGUGGUUUUUAUGGCAUGUAUUUGGCAUAACUGUGGUAGUCUCAAAAAUGUCUCUCCCACAAAGAUAUCCAUAUUCUAAUCCCCAGAACCUGUGAAUAUGUGGGCUUGCAUGACAAAGGAAAUGGUCUGUGACUCUCCAAGACCUGUGAAUAUGUAGACAUUGCAAAUGUGAUUAAGUUAAGAAUGUUGAAGUUAGUCCUAGUUAUCUGGGUGAGACCAAUGUAAUCGCAAGAAUCCUUGUAAGACAGGGAUCCCCAACCCCUGAGCCACAGACAGUUACUGGUCCAUGGCCUGUGAGGAACUGGGCCACACAGCAGGAGGUGAGUGGUGCACAAGUGAGUGAAGCUUCAUCUGUAUUACAGCCACAACCCAUUGCUCACUUUACCAUCUGAGCU